rnacentral:rRNA from 1 species
UACGUAGGGCGCAAGCGUUAUCCGGAAUCAUUGGGCGUAAAGAGCGUGUAGGCGGCCCGGUAAGUCCGCUGUAAAAGUCAAAGGCUCAACCUUUGAAUGUCAGUGGAUACUGCCGGGCUAGAGUCCGGAAGAGGCGAGUGGAACUCCUGGUGUAGCGGUGGAAUGCGCAGAUAUCAGGAAGAACACCAACGGCGAAGGCAGCUCGCUAGGACGGUACUGACGCUGAGACGCGAAAGCGUGGGGAGCAAACAGG